rnacentral:rRNA from 1 species
GCGAGAGCGUGGACGGGAGGCGGGGUAGUGCGGGGGGAGCGAACGUGGUUCGGAAUCACAUGGCGUAAACGGCGUGUGGGCGGCGGUAUAAGUUGGAUUUUAAAUCCCCCGGCUGAACCGUGGACCGGCAUCUCAUACUGUUAAGCUCGAGCACAUCAGAGGAGACUGGAAUUGCCGGUGUAGCGGUGAAAUGCGUAGAUAUCGGGAGGAACACCAGUGGCGAAGGCGAGUCUCUGGGAUGAUGCUGACGCUGAGGCGCGAAAGCCAGGGGAGCAAACGGGAUUAGAUACCCUGGUAGUC